CCUACGGGAGUCAGCAGUGGGGAAUAUUGGGCAAUGGGCGCAAGCCUGACCCAGCAACGCCGCGUGAAGGAAGAAGGCUUUCGGGUUGUAAACUUCUUUUCUGAGGGACGAAGAAAGUGACGGUACCUCAGGAAUAAGCCACGGCUAACUACGUGCCAGCAUCCGCGGUAAUACGUAGGUGGCAAGCGUUAUCCGGAUUUAUUGGGUGUAAAGGGCGUGUAGGCGGGAUAGCAAGUCAGAUGUGAAAACUCAGGGCUCAACCCUGAGCCUGCAUUUGAAACUGUUUUUCUUGAGUGCUGGAGAGGCAAUUGGAAUUGCGUGUGUAGCGGUGAAAUGCGGAGAUAUACGGAGGAACACCAGGGGCGAAGGCGGAUUGCUGGACAGUAACUGACGCUGAGGCGCGAAAGCGUGGGGAGCAAACAGGAUUAGAUACCCGGGUAGUC
rnacentral:rRNA from 1 species